UGCUAAACAAAUUGUAACAAUAUCAACGAUUGGUGCGCCAUUUGCCUUUCUGUUUUGCAUAUUAAUGACACUCUGGAUCUUAAUAAAACGGAAAAGACCAAAGCAGUUAUUUGCCCUGAAGAGCAAAGAAGUAGGUAUUGAUGAGAAAAGAGAAAUUCAAACACGACCUGAUUCCUAUGAGGAACCUAUAAAUGCCCAGGGA